CUCUAUCUCACUGGAAGGAACUGAGUUGGUGACUUCUAACUCAUCCAAUAUCAGGAAAUGCGUAUAAAGGUGAGGAAGAGCUGAUGGACUAUCUAUGUUACACAGAAUAAUGAGUGAGUUAUGAUCUGCAUCAUGGGAGGGAAGACCUGCAUUGAUGAGAUCACAGGAACAAUUUCAAAGUGCUCUUAAUUUAGCCUUUUAAAACUGCAACACAAGGUUUCCUGCCUGAGGCUAAUCUCCUAAUUACAUCUAUAUAGACAAGUCACACCUUCAGCAAGAUAAAAAAGAAUUCACACCUGCCAGUUUUUAUAUCAGUUUUGGAAAUAUCCCCUUAAUGAGCAAGCCAAAAAGAAAU